rnacentral:lncRNA from 1 species
CGACCCAUUUCUUGUUCGCCGACCCGCCUAAGUAACCCGAUCGGGACUCUGGGGUACGGCCACUAAGCGGCGGCGCACGGCUCUCAAUCGAUUCAGCUCCUUGCUGCGGUUCCGCUUCUAAUCUCGGUUGGUCCAUUGAAUGGGUGUAGAGAGAGAAUCGAAGCCGACGAGUUCUGUGUUUUACGGCGAUUUCCCUGCAAUAUCCCGACCCGACGACGGUUUACAAUGCAUGAAGUAUGGAACUUAGUCUAC